rnacentral:tRNA from 1 species
GGGUCGUUAGCUCAGUUGGUAGAGCAGUUGACUUUUAAUCAAUUGCUCGCAGGUUCGAAUCCUGCACGACCCACCA